CCUCCGAAGGCCGGCGUGCCUGCCGCCAGGUGCGGCUCCGCGGAAUUCCAGCUUCGCCUGAACUAAAAGCAGCUGUGCAGCUUUCUGCCUUCAUUGAGAAAACGGGAGCUGUGCCGUCGCCUUUCCUCCUGGGCUGCCUCCGACCCAGCACUGAGAAACCGAAACUCCCCGGGGCUGGGUGUGUGAAGGAGGGACAGGGAGGAGGCGACAGCCCAGGACCCUCCAAUGCCCCCGCCCCGCCCGCCCAGUGUGAUGUCCUUCUAGUCGUGGGAUACUGAGCUUGGAAAUGGUCAUGAAAUAGGGGUGCAAAACUCAAGCGACUCUGACAAUUUUUUAGAAACGCUUAUAGUCCCUGGGGAAACAAAGAAGGGGACCAGAAGCUAGGAGGGGACAGCAUCCUACCAGACUCCAGGGUGUUCAUUAGCAAGGAAGGAUUUAUUUUUUCUUUUGAGGGGAGGGCGGAACAGCCGGGAUUUUUGGAA
rnacentral:lncRNA from 1 species